rnacentral:lncRNA from 1 species
UUUUUUUUCUUUCUUUUUUCUAUGCACCUGUGGCACAUGGAGGUUCCCAGGCUAGGGGUCUAACUGGAGCUACAGCUGCUGGCCUACGCCACAGCCAUGGCCACGCCAGAUCCCAGCCACAUCUGCGACCUUCACCACACCUCAUGGCAAUGCCAGAUCCUUAACCCACUGAGCGAGGCCAGGCAUUGAACCCGUAUCCUUACGGAUACUAGUUGGGUUCUUAACCCACUGGGCCACAAUGGGAACUCCAGGGAAUUCCUAUUUCUUUUUUUGACACGUAGACGUUUUAGCUUUUGAAGUAGUCAAUCGAUUCGUCUUUUUGUGGCCCUUUCCCGCCUCUUCAAGAUAAAUCACCCAGGGUUGCUUCACGUUAAAGAAAAACAAAACCCCAUCUCGUGUGCACCUGGGAUUUACUUUGGAGGAAGGAGUGAUGUCAUGAGGGAACCAUCAUCCCCAGUUGCCACGACCCCAUUUAUUGAACUUUUUUUCUGAUUUGAAUCAUCAUCUUUACUUUCUAAAUUCCCCUACGAUCACUAUGAAGCUGUUCCCUGCAUUGAAGAUCAGAAAAUCCAACCUAAGUGUCUUCAAGAACUUUAAGGAAAGUGUUAGCGCCUGUGACAGGGGCCUGGGGCAGAGCAAGCUGACUUAGCAACUUGUGACACUUGUCUCUCGGCUCUGCCAUCUGCUGCACCGAUGUCGUCGUGACUACAAGACAGCCCAGGAACAAGAGCGGUGUCCUUGUCCUUACCCGGGGCUUCAAGAACGCGUCACAGAACCCCCCAGUGUCCCGUCCCGUUGAGGUAGGACCUAUAAUCCUCCACCCUGUAGAAAAGUGAAGCCGCCCAACGUCACAGCUGCUAAGUAGCAGGGCUGGGACUCGAACCCGGGCCUUCGGCUCGAGGCCAGCCUGCUGGGAACGCCACACCUCUCCAUGGCAUCGUGUCUUUUCCACUAACCUCCCUUAUUAACCCCGGCCCUCAGUUCUCUCCCAGCCCUGCCCACACACCCACACCUCUGUAUUUCCAGUGUCUUUGGGUUGGGUCUGUGCUGCAGACAUGGGUGGGGCCAGGCGACAGAGGAGUCCCCUUCCUGCGAUAGGCCUUGGUGGCCGGGCCUGGGUCACAUGCUCCUUGGUGAGGAGCACUGGGGCCAGUUCCCCAGGAAGACCUCGGGGGACUGGCGAAUGAGUGGUCAGGCUGGUCCAGCAAGACCUCGGGGGACCGAGGAGCACGUGCUCAGGUUGGUGCAAAGCCAUCCUUUUAAACAAUGCCAUCGCUCAGGAAUGACAAUAAUGAGGUGCAGGGGUAUUUGUCACGUGCCAGUAAUGCCCACUUGCCACCACUCAUCUCCUGGAAGCUCGCGCCAACGGGGAGAAGGAGGGUCCCAUCAGACUGGACACAGAGGUGGGCCCUGUGCUGAGAACGUGCUGAAGGCAGGCACGGGUGGGUGGGUGGACACGUGAAGGGACCGGCUGUUCCACAGCACCCAGGGCAAGGAGGUGUGCCCUUGUGCAUGUGGCAGCAAUGCUGCCAAGGGAGGGGACCCUUCGGCUGCCUCCCUGGGGUCGCUGGCUGGCCUUGCUGGAACUAGAUGGUGUCAAGGGCAGAUCCUGGUCUCAGUCGCCAUGGGGUGUGAUGGACAGAGGUCCCUGCAUUGUCGCAGUUGACUCACCCGCUGGGCGAGCACAGUCCAUGCUCACAGGUGCCCUGGGCAGUGCUGGGGACUGCGCUUGGAGGUGCGACCAGGGCAGGAGGGGCUCGAGCGCAGGUGGUGGGUGUUGGGGGAGGCCGCACUUCCCUGGGCGUCUGGGGAUGGGGGGUGUUCAGGGGGCAGCUGCACAGGGCUGGUCGCCCCCUGCAGGGCCCAGGGACCUUGCAGCUGGAAACCCCUCUGGAAGGAGCAAGGGGCAAGGCUUUUUUGAAAUACUGUUACUUUGACACAAAUACAAGCCGGGUGUAAGCCUGUGCUUCUAGCCUGAUAAUUCAUCAUACACCCACAAAAUUCAAAUUAGAAUGAGAGAAGCCCACAAAACAGAUACCACUUAGAUCAAUAAUGCAGUUAAAUGGUUAAUGUGAAACCACUAAUGCAAAGCGGCAAUGUGAGCGUUGGUGCCUUUAAACUGAGGUAAAAUAACACGCCCCAGACAAACUCACCGUUUCGCCUUUAGGUGCCACCAGGUACGUCACAAGCUCGUCACCAUCACUCCCGCCCAUCUUGAGAACUUCUGUCACCGCCCCAAGAAGGAACUCUGUCUCAUGAAACAACAGGUGUUGUGCUGAAACACAAUCAUCACCCCCCGUCUAGACGGUCUCCAGGCAGGUGUGGGGACAGGAGGCACAGCCCCGUCUGGCACCUGGGUGCCCGAGUGGCCCACCCUGGUCUGGUGUCCCGGCCACGCCAGGUGGCCUGGGCUUGACCAGGACCUGCUCACGCACCGCUUCCGUUCCUUGGUGACAACUACUGUGCUGGGAAAACACGUGGGCUGUCCUGGGAGUGGGUGGGGAUGAGACCCACGUGAGGUUGCAUCCAGGGGGCUGUCAUGCAGGAGUGAGCCCAGAAAGGUGGCCGGACUGAGGUGCCAGGCAUGGAACUGCACCCAGGUGCGGAAUGCUGGGCCUGAGGCGUGCAGAACACCUGCCCCUGUGGUGCCCACGUCCUGACCCCCAGAAAGCUGGUCUUCCCCAGGCAGCUGACUAUGUGGGUCUGGGGGCCUCAGGAGAUGUGGGUGGCACUAAGGGCCUUAGGAGAGGGGGUCAGAGUGAGAGGGUGAUGGGCUGGUGCAAGGUCAGGUACGGAGUCUGAGGGGCGUGGCUGGGAGAACAUUCCGGAAAGAGCUGCAGACAGAGGCUCACAGUGGGACUGGUGGCCUGCCACCUCACAGCCCAGUUUGGGGGUGGCCGAGGUGUUACGAACCCCUGCCCCUGGAAGGUCUGGCAGGGAGAGGACCCCGGGAUGGGGCCGCCAGCCCAUGUCCAGGAGCAGGGCUGGCUGGGACCAGGGGGUCAGAGGGCAGGCGGGAGGGAGGCUGUGAAUCCGGGGAACCUGUGGGGCCAGGGGAGGGAGUGACCCUUUGUCCCAGGAUCAAAACCCCUGUUGUGGCAGGAAUCUCAGGCAAAUGCUUGGACCCUCCCCUCCUCAGGGGAAGGGUUAAGAGGGCAAACUGGGGCUCUUAGCUUAGCCUUUAAGGAAAGCCACAACUUGUGUCACCCUCAUCAGAGGGUACACUGUACAGACUGCAAAGUAUAAAAGGGAACAGGGGUUGUUGGUAAAACUGCCCUGAGCAACCCUGCCCCCCGACAGCGGAGGUGGGGGGAGCCAGCCUGUCCGCGUGAGAUGUCUGAGGAGCCCCAGAACACGCCUGCGUUGGAGCGGCUCAGCCCAGUGGUGGAGGCGGUGGUGGCGUGCGAGGUGCAGCUGGCUCUAGGGGUGGGUGGCGAGUCAGGACAGCGGCCAAUCACCAGGCUCAGUCUUCCGAGACCGCAGAGAACAGACCUCUGGGUGACAUGCCAAUGUUUGCUUUUAAGGUAAAAAACAGUGCCACAGGCUUGGGCAAACACUUUACGUUUACCCAGUGGCCCCUUUUCAGGGUGGGGACCUACAGCGGCAAAGCCCAGCACGGACCCAGGUCAGGCACGAAAGAUACAGCCAGGGCUGUAUCUGGAGGACCACAGAAAAACACCGGAGUUCCCACUGGGGCAGUGAGGCGAGGAUCUGGCACUGCUGUAGCUGUGGUGUGGGCGCACCUGCAGCCCACAUUUGAUCCCCGGCCUGAGAACAUCCUCGUGCUACGGGACCAGCCAUUUAAAAAAAAAAAAAAGCAUCCAAGAAAUUCUUUUUUUUUUUUGGUCUUCUUGCUAUUUCUUUGGGCCCCUCCCACGGCAUAUGGAGGUUCCCAGGUUAGGGGUCGAAUCGGAGCUGUAGCCACCGGCCUACGCCAGAGCCACAGCAACGCGGGAUCCGAGCUGCGUCUGCAACCUACACCACAGCUCACAGCAACGCCGGAUUGUUAACCCACUGAGCAAGGGCAGGGACCGAACCCGCAACCUCAUGGUUCCUAGUCGGAUUCAUUAACCACUGCGCCACAACGGGAACUCCUUUUUUGCCUUUUUUUAAAGCUGCACCCGCAGCACAUAGAGGUUUCCAGGCUAGGGGGUCUAAUUGGAGCUGCAGCUGCCAGUCUAAGCUACAGCCACAGAGGAUCCGAGACACCCCUGCAACCUACACCACAGCUCACAGCGACACUGGAUCCUUAACCCACUGAGAGAGGCCAGGGAUCGAACCCACCACCCUACGGUUCCCAGUCGGAUUCAUUUUGCAGCACCACGAUGGGAACUCCUGUUCUCACACUUGCCGGGCAGUGCUCGAGAUUCUGAGGGCCCAUGAAGGCACCCGUUUUUUCCCGUACUGUCAUCAUGCCCUUUGUGUCACAGAGCUGGGGAAAUUCUGUGCUUCCCCAAGGCAGGUGGCUCACCUGCUCCGUCUCUCUCAAUGCCUGGCAGUGCAGCUACCCUAGAAGCCUCCAGGCCACCGAUGGCUGAACACAUGGAUGCGUCUAUGUGGCCCUGAGCCCACCCCUCUGGGGGCAGUUUCUUGUGAGCUCACCCUUCACCAGGCUCUGUGGCCCUGCCCCUGUGGACCACUGGGCCUGGCAGGCAGCCCACCUCCAGGCCCUGGGAGGCGGGCAGAGAGGCCCCCUCUCGCCCGGCGCCUCUUGUCCUGGACCACAGAUCCGUGCUCAGGUGGUGAGGCGGCGCCAGCUCCCUCACCCUGCAGAUGGAAACAGCUCCUCUCAUGUCCGCCUCUGGCGUGUGUGUGAGGGGUGUGUGUGUAACUGAGCCUGGCCCAGCGCCGGGCCCGAGGGCUGUGAGCACGUGUUGUCAAAGCCUCUGGGGGAGCACCUGCUGUGAGGCAGACACAGGCUCCCCCCAGUGUGAGGCCCAGGCUGGAGGACACAGGGUGAGCAUCAGGAAAAGCCCACAUUCAGCAGAUAAACCCUAAGCCGCGAGAUCAGCACGUCUGAAAUCUCUGUUCAAGAAACGUGGACACAUUCUCCACACAUCGCCUCUCUCCUAAAGCGACCCAUGAGCCGAGCCACUCCCUCACUGAGGGCGAUCAUGUGUCACCCAGAGACCCUGACCGGGGCCUGAGGAGGCAGGUGCUGCGGGGAGGAGGGGCUAUUCAGUGAGUGACACCAGGCCGGUCCACACGGCUCGGGGACUGAACUUGGCUCAGCUUCUUGGCAGCACCUUGAACUUGUGAUGAACUGGUUAACACUCUGUUCCUGGCCAGGGUUUUGAGGUCAACAGAGCAGGGCCACUCCUGUCUUGCCUACCGCAUGGCCCCAGUGCCUAGCAUGCCUGGCUGUGUAAACUGUUGAAGGCCGGGUCACAGCGUGGAGGGGAGUGUUGCCAGGAUCUCAGCAACACUGCAUGGCAUGAGGUCACGAGCAGCUUUCCCAAGGUCACAACUAGAAGGCACAACAACGGACAGUCACUUGGCUCUGAUAUCUCCUGGAGGUGGGCAGGCCCCUGCGCUGGUGAGAGCUGCCCCCUGGCAGACCACCCUUGGCUGAGGUCAACACUGCCCGGUUGUUGAUCCCUGGAGCUGGUAUGACAUGCAGCCUGGAUCACAGGCGGGGCCUGAGAUCAGCUGCAGCAGGAUGUGCGUGGGAAUGGAAAAUUCUCAAUAAUACGGAGGCUUCCUCUUUAAGGCACUUGUUUUUACAGGAUUACCUUAGAAAGAGGAAGAAAGAGCACUUCUUAAAAUCCCAGGGUCCAGCUCCCUGGCCAAUUCUGUUAUGGGAAAGAGAGUGACUCUGAUACAAAACAGUAACAAGUGGCUGAAUCAAACACUUCCCGCCCCCCUGGUGCCACUGGCCUCCUCACUGGCAGUGGUCAGACCGCACAUCUGUACAGACGCUGGACAAGGUCCCACGGCAUCCUCCCGCCGGGACUGGGUGAAUGGGGGUGACAGUGGCUCCCUCGCAGGGGGCCCACAGGGACCACGGUCCUGCCUGGCUCUGCGGGCGGGCGCCGGCCCUCAUCCCGGCUCCCGGCUGGGUCAUCGCGGUGCUGGUGCAGACAGGACGGGGGCAACCUCGGGCCUUGGGAAGAGCAGCGGGUCAUCAGGGAGCUCCCGACCCGGGCACGUCCUCGUCCCAGGAAAUGAGGGACGCAGGGUCGCUGCUCCCGCUCUCCCGCCGGGAGGCCCGGGCCUGCUGCUCUUCCUCCACCAGGCCGGCCACCAGGUUCAGGCGGCAGGCCCUGAGCGCAUCCACCAGGUGGGACACGGCCGCGUCCUCCCUCCUGCUGUUCUUCCAGACUCGCAGCGACUCCCUCACCUGCUCGGUCAGGUUUCGGGGAUACUUCUCCUCGAUGGCGUCGAUCUUGGCGUCAGACACUUUAAGCUGCCGAGCCAGCCGCCUCCAGUCCUUCCCCACGUUGUCGCAGAUGAUAUCAAACGCUGCCCGCAGGUCU